AUGGACAUGAGGGUCCCUGCUCAGCUCCUGGGGCUCCUGCUGCUUUGGAUCCUAGAUGCCAGAGGUGGUAUCCAGAUGACCCAGUCUCCAUCCCCCCUCUCUACAUCUCUAGGAGAGAGGGCUGCUCACACCCUGUGCAGCAGUCAGUCCCAGUUAGCGCCCAGCAUGGACAUGAGGACCCCUGCUCAGCUCCUGGGGCUCCUGCUGCUCUGGUUGCCAGGUGCCAGAUGUGACAUCCAGCUGACCCAGUCUCCAGCCUCCCUAUCUGCAUCUCCAAGCGACACAGUCUCCAUCACUUGCCGGGCCAGUAGGGACAUUAGCAAAAGUUUAAACUGGUAUCAGCAGAAACCAGGGAAAGCUCCUACGCUCCUCAUUUAUUACACAUCCAGUUUGUCCUCUGGAGUUCCAUCAAGGUUCAGUGGCAGUGGAUCUGGGACAGAGUUCACUCUCACCAUCAGCAGCCUGCAGCCUGAAGAUGUUGCCACUUAUUACUGUCAACAGUAUAGGAAUUGGCCUCCCACAGUGAUACAAGCCAUAACCCAGAACACAGAGCUGCUCGCACUGUCCAUUGAGCCGUGCAUGGGUGAGGACCAGCCAUCCGAUGAACACAACAUGGACAACCAGGAAAAACCCAACGUGGCUUCCACGUAG